AGCAGCCGCGGUAAUUCCAGCUCCAAUAGCGUAUAUUAAAGUUGUUGCAGUUAAAAAGCUCGUAGUUGAAUUUCGAGAUCAAAUUGUUGGUCGUGCCUUGGUACGCACUGGCAUUAUUGGUUUCUCCCUUCUGACGAACCAUGAUGUCAUUAAUUUGGUGUCUUGGGGAAUCAGGACUGUUACUUUGAAAAAAUUAGAGUGUUUAAAGCAGGCUCACGCUUGAAUACAUUAGCAUGGAAUAAUGAAAUAGGACGUUUGAUUCUAUUUUGUUGGUUUCUAGGAUCGACGUAAUGAUUAAUAGGGAUAGUUGGGGGCAUUAGUAUUCAAUUGUCAGAGGUGAAAUUCUUGGAUUUAUUGAAGACUAACUACUGCGAAAGCAUUUGCCAAGGAUGUUUUCAUUAAUCAAGAACGAAAGUUAGGGGAUCGAAGACGAUCAGAUACCGUCGUAGU
rnacentral:rRNA from 1 species